rnacentral:ribozyme from 1 species
GCCCCGCACGCACCCACGCAAAGACACAGAAGAAAAAAACAGCAACAACGUCCCAAUGUCCUACUCCUACCUGUUCAAAU